rnacentral:rRNA from 1 species
AUGGGGGAGGCUGACGAUGCUAGGGAUGCGGUGGUGGAAGAGAUGGAUGUCGAUGGUGGCGACAGGCACCGUGGCAAGGACAAGGAAAGGAGGGAUAGACACAGGAGGGAGGAGAAGGAUCACCAUGGCAGUGGGAGGAGGGACAAGGAGAAGGAGAAAGAUAAGGAUGAGAGGAGGAGGGACAAGGAUGAUACCAAGCAUAGGGACAGGGAGAGGGAGAGGGAAAGAGAUAGGGACAGAGACAGGGAUAGCAGCAAGCACAGGGAUAGGGAUUCAGAGCGUGACCGUGGCCGUGACCGUGAUCGCGGGAAGGAUCGGGAAAGGGAUACAGAGAGGGAGCGGGAAAGGGAGAAGGAAAGGAGGGAUAGGGACAAGGACAGGAGCCGUAACAGAGACAAGAACAAGGACAAGGAGGAUAGGGAACGGGAGAAGUCGAGGGGAAAGGACCGUGGAGAAGACGCAGAUUUGCCUAAGGGCGGUGAGGGAGACCAGAAGAAGGAAGGUGACCUCCCAGGAGAGCCUGACCAGGCCUCCACAUCUGCCCUCCGGGACCGCAUUGCGAGGGCCAAGGAAGAAAGGUUGAAGGAUAAAAAGGAAGGGGGAAUUCUGGAUGAUAAAGAUGAUGCUUCAGAGAUACUAUCCUGGGUAGGCAAGAGUCGCAAACUUGACGAGAAAAGACAAGCUGAAAAGGAAAAGGCGUUACGUCUUGCACGAGUAUUUGAGGAACAGGAUGAUAUGUUAGCAGAAAAUAGUGAUGACGACUAUGAUGAGGCUGAUAAACUUGGUGGAGACCACUUAUCUGGAGUGAAGGUUCUUCACGGGCUUGACAAAGUCAUAGAAGGUGGAGCAGUUGUCAUGACACUCAAAGAUCAGAGUAUUCUGGCUGAUGGGGAUAUCAAUGAAGAGGCUGAUAUGCUUGAGAACAUUGAGAUUGGUGAGCAGAAGCAAAGAAACGAAGCUUACAGGGCUGCACAUAAGAAAGGAACAUAUGAUGACAAGUUCAAUGAUGACCCGAUGUCAAAGAAACCUAUGCUCUCACAGUAUGAUGACCCAAUGGAAGAUGAGGGAGUGACACUUGAUGAAGGUGGACGCUUCACCGGUGAAGCAGAGAAGAAGUUAGAAGAGCUCCGCAAAAGGAUUGAAGGUGGUUCUGUUCUGAAAAAGACAGAAAACCUUACUUCCGCAGCAAAGAUGGCAUCAGAUUACUACACUGCUGACGAAAUGCUGCAGUUUAAGAAACCAAAGAAAAAGAAAUCCCAUAGGAAGAAAGAAAAGCUAGAUCUGGAUGCACUUGAAGCAGAAGCGAUUGCUUCUGGACUGGGAGCAGCUGAUCUUGGGUCCAGGAAUAAUGGUAAACGACAGUCUGCUAGGGAGGUAGAGCAAAAGGCUGAUGCUGAAAAGAGAAGCAAUGCGUACCAAGUAGCCAUUUCAAAGGCUGAAGAGGCAUCAAAAGCGUUGCGUCAGGAGAAAAUGCCCGGUAAACCGGCUGAUGAGGAAGAACUUGUUUUUGGUGACGAUUAUGAAGAUCUGCAAAAAUCUCUGGAGCAAGCAAGGAAGCUAUCUCUAAGGAAGCAGGAAGAGGCUGCAGGUUCUGGUCCUCUGUCUGUAGCAGAAAUGGCUGCUGCAAACAAGGGGCAAGGAGAUGCAGAUGCUGCAGAGGGAGAUGCACAACAGAAUAAGGUUGUUAUCACUGAGAUGGAAGAGUUCGUGUGGGGUCUGCAAUUGAAUGAAGAAACACGCAAGCCAGAAGCAGAAGAUGUGUUUAUGGAUGAAGACGAUGAUGAUAUGCCUUCAGGUAUUACAGCAAAAGAUGACACAAGCAGAUUGGGAGUCAUCAAAGAGGAAGCUGUCAUUGAAGACCCAAAAAAGGAUGUAGAGGAGCAAGAAGUCACACCGGAUGAGGUUGUGCAUGAAGCUGCAGUUGGCAAGGGUUUGGGUGGAGCUUUGAAGUUUCUAAAGGAGCGAGGGACCCUCAAUGAGGGCACAAAUUGGGGAGGCAGAACCACGGACAAGAAGAAAAGCAAGCUUGUUGGUAUUGAGGAAGAGGCUGAGGACGGAAAAAAAGAAAUCCGCAUAGAAAGAAUGGAUGAAUUCGGUCGAGUGAUGACACCUAAGGAGGCGUUUAGGGAUCUUUCGCACAAAUUCCAUGGCAAGGGACCAGGUAAAAUGAAGCUGGAAAAACGGCAGAAGAAGUACCAGGAUGAUAUGAAAGCUAAGCAAAUGAAAUCUUCUGACACGCCUUUGAUGUCCGCGGAAAAGAUGAGAGACGCUCAAGCUCGUGGCCAAACACCAUACCUUGUUUUAAGUGGCAAUGCAAAAUCAGGCCCGACAGGCGAUGCUAGUGGCUUUGCCAGCGUGGAGAAGGCGCAUCCCGGGAGUCUGACGCCCAUGCUCGGCGACAAAAAGGUGGAGCACUUUCUGGGCAUCAAACGAAGCGCCCAGUUUGGUGGCAUGCCGCCGCUGCCGCCAAAGAAGCCUAAGAAUUGA